rnacentral:rRNA from 1 species
UACAGAGGGUGCAAGCGUUUAAUCGGAAUUACUGGGCGUAAAGCGUGCGUAGACGGUUACAUAAGUCGGGUGUGAAAGCCCCGGGCUCAACCUGGGAAUGCAUUCGAGACUGCGUAGCUAGGGUGCGGAAGAGGGAAGCGGAAUUUCCGGUGUAGCGGUGAAAUGCGUAGAUAUCGGAAGGAACACCAGUGGCGAAAGCGCUUCCUGGUCCAGCACCGACGUCAGGCACGAAAGCGUGGGGAGCAAACAGG